rnacentral:lncRNA from 1 species
AAAAAUUGAUCAACGAUCCUGGUUGCCCACCUGUGUCUCCGAGGCUCAAGAAACAAUCAGCGUAUGCCCCCAGGUUCCGCCAGUUCAUCGUCGCCAUUGCUCAGGUACAACAUUACUAGCUUGCUUCUAAUGUUUCGUUAUUCUUUGCCUCUUUACAAUUUGAUUUGGGAGGCUAAAGCUAAGUUCCCUCUUCUUUUAAUAUUGUUUGGUAAAAUGGGCUUGCUUGCUUUUUCCAAUCAAAACCAAGCUUUGUAGUUUGCUCUGG